GGGAAAGUAAAAGUCGUAACAAGGUUUCCGUAGGUGAACCUGCGGAAGGAUCAUUAUUGAAUAUGCUCGAUGGGUUGUCGCUGGCCUCUCGAGGCAUGUGCACGCCUGUCUUGACUUCAUUCAUCCACCUGUGCACUUGUUGUAGUCUGGAAAGAUAUCGGAUGGUCAGUCAUUUUGGCUGGAUUUGAGGCUUGCUGUGCUCUCCUCUGCUCCGUUUUCAGACUAUGUCUUUUUAUCACAAACUAUGUAGUAUGUUGUCAGAAUGUAUUCAAUGGGCCUUUGUGCCUAUACAACUUUAUACAACUUUCAGCAACGGAUCUCUUGGCUCUCGCAUCGAUGAAGAACGCAGCGAAAUGCGAUAAGUAAUGUGAAUUGCAGAAUUCAGUGAAUCAUCGAAUCUUUGAACGCACCUUGCGCUCCUUGGUAUUCCGAGGAGCAUGCCUGUUUGAGUGUCAGUAAAUUCUCAACUCCUUUGGCUUUUGUGGCCAACAGGAGCUUGGAUGUGGAGGUUGUGUGGGCCUGCAAAGGUCUGCUCCUCUGAAAUGCAUUAGCGGAACCGUUUGCAAUCCGUCAACUGGUGUGAUAAUUAUCUAUGCCUAGUGGGUUGCUCUCUGAGUUGUUCAGCUCCCAACCGUCCUGCAAACCGGACAACUACUGAACCUUUGACCUCAAAUCAGGUAGGACUACCCGCUGAACUUAAGCAUAUCAAUAAGCGGAGGA
rnacentral:rRNA from 1 species